rnacentral:lncRNA from 10 species
GAAGAAGAUAACUCAAGUCUCAUUUCUGGGAAUGGUCAAUUGGAGCCAACAGCCACCAUCCUCAGAGAGGUUCUGUGUGACUGAGAGGUGCAUGGAGCACCCUGGAGUCCAGCUGGGCAGUGCUGCUUCCCCACGCCUGUGCUGUGUGAUGGACCCUCUGAGCAGCAUCUGCACAGAUCUCAGGAACAUCAGUCCCCAAAUGGGAGACUCGCCUUCAUCAAGUUAUCUAAGGACCCUCUGUUUCUCCACCUCUUCCUCCUCCUCCUUCUUGUCAAUUCUUUAACUUUUUUCUUGAACUGCAUACUUUUGGAAUCUGUUAUCUUGUGAAAAUAAUGAAGGUCCAUUACCUAAAAAUUGAAAUAAUACAGCGCAAAGAGAAACUGCCCUCUCAUGCCUUUUCCAAGAUAUGACAGCUAUGAACGCUUGAAAUUGGGAUCAGAUGGCCCCUGCUUAUACCUACUCUGACCGUGGAGGGUGGCCUGUCCCUGGUGUGUGCCCUGACUGUCCCUGGGCUCCUUUGAGACCUCCCUAGUGCUGCACUUACCCAUGGGUCUGUGCCAGGCUUUGAUUUUUCAAUGGGAACAUGAGCUACAGAGGAAGGGGUCAUGAGUAUUUGCUUCACUUUUGUGUUGGCAGCACAGCACUGCCUCAUAAAUGGUGCCCAAUGAAUACUUG